UUCAUUCCUUGUGCUCCUUAGGGUUUGACAGUGGCCACGAUGCUUGUUGCAGAAGAGGGCAGAAUCGAGGGGAAUACAGGCGUGGGGCUACCACUUAUGAGAUUUGCCAAGAUGCAUCUAAUGUGUGUGAUUUGAACCCUAUCAUUACCACAAAGAAAGCAUACGUAGGCUUGCAGCCUACAAAUUAAAUUGCCGAAUCGGAAUAAGAGUUGUGUGAG
rnacentral:lncRNA from 1 species